UACGUAGGGUGCAAGCGUUGUUCGGAAUUACUGGGCGUAAAGGGCUCGUAGGCGGUCUUUCGAGUCAGCUGUGAAAUCUCCGGGCUUAACUCGGAACGGUCAGAUGAUACUGCUUUGCUAGAGUGCAGAAGGGGCAAUCGGAAUUCUUGGUGUAGCGGUGAAAUGCGUAGAUAUCAAGAGGAACACCUGAGGUGAAGACGGGUUGCUGGGCUGACACUGACGCUGAGGCGCGAAAGCCAGGGGAGCAAACGGG
rnacentral:rRNA from 1 species